GAGAUAACUCCUACGGGAGGCAGCAGUGGGGAAUUUUGGACAAUGGGGGCAACCCUGAUCCAGCAAUGCCGCGUGAGUGAAGAAGGCCUUCGGGUUGUAAAGCUCUUUUGUCAGGGAAGAAACGGUAGUAGCUAAUAUCUAUUACUAAUGACGGUACCUGAAGAAUAAGCACCGGCUAACUACGUGCCAUCAGCCGCGGUAAUACGUAGGGUGCAAGCGUUAAUCGGAAUUACUGGGCGUAAAGCGUGCGCAGGCGGUUGUGUAAGUCAGAUGUGAAAUCCCCGGGCUCAACCUGGGAAUUGCAUUUGAGACUGCACGUCUAGAGUGUGGCAGAGGGGGGUAGAAUUCCACGUGUAGCAGUGAAAUGGGGAGAUAUGUGGAGGAAUACCGAUGGCGAAGGCAGCCCCCUGGGAUAACACUGCCGCUCAUGCACGAAAGCGUGGCGAGCAAACAGGAGUAGAUACCCGGGUAGUCAUCCACU
rnacentral:rRNA from 1 species